rnacentral:rRNA from 1 species
CACGAAGUUAGCCGGGGCUUCUUCUCACGCUACCGUCAUCAUCGUCGCGUGCGAAAGAGCUUUACAACCCGAAGGCCUUCAUCACUCACGCGGCAUUGCUGGAUCAGGCUUGCGCCCCAUUGUCCAAUAUUCCCCACUGCUGCCUCCCGUAGGAGUCUGGGCCGUGUCUCAGUCCCAGUGUGGCUGAUCAUCCUCUCAGACCAGCUAAGGAUCGUUGCCUUGGUAGGCCGUUACCCCACCAACAAGCUAAUCCUACGCGGGCCCAUCCCAUGGCGAUAAAUCUUUGUCCCUCAAGACACAUACGGUAUUACGCUUCCAGUUUCCCGGAGUUAUUCCGUACCACAGGGCAGGUUCCCACGCGUUACUCACCCGUGCCGCCACUAGGGCCCGAAGCCCCUCGUUCGACUUGCAUGUGUUAGGCAUGCCGCCAGCCGUUCGUUCUGAGUCCAGGAUCCGUAAACUCU